CACGUAGGUGGUUUUGUAAGUCGGAUGUGAAAUCCCCGGGCUUAACCCGGGAACUGCAUUCGAGACUGCAUUACUCGAGUAUGGGAGAGGGAAGCGGAAUUUCCGGUGUAGCGGUGAAAUGCGUAGAUAUCGGAAGGAACAUCAGUGGCGAAGGCGGCUUCCUGGCCCAAUACUGACACUCAUGUGCGAAAGCGUGGGGAGCAAACA
rnacentral:rRNA from 1 species